UACAGAGGGUGCGAGCGUUGUCCGGAAUCACUGGGCGUAAAGGGCGCGUAGGCGGCUUGAUAAGCGUGCGGUGAAAGCCCGGGGCCUCAACCCCGGGUCGGCCGUGCGAACUGCUGGGCUGGAGCACUGUAGAGGCAGGCGGAAUUCCGGGUGUAGCGGUGGAAUGCGUAGAGAUCCGGAAGAACACCGGUGGCGAAGGCGGCCUGCUGGGCAGUGGCUGACACUGAGGCGCGACAGCGUGGGGGAGCAAACGG
rnacentral:rRNA from 1 species